rnacentral:rRNA from 1 species
AGUGUAGGCGGGAUCGUAAGUUAGGAGUUUAAUGCAUGGGCUUAACCCAUGACCUGCUUUUAAUACUGCGGUUCUUGAGUAUGGGAGAGGGCGAUGGAAUUCCAGGUGUAGCGGUGGAACGCGUAGAUAUCUGGAAGAACACCAGUAGCGAAGGCGGUCGCCUGGCCCAAUACUGACGCUGAUGCUCGAAAGCUAGGGGAGCAAACAGGAUUAGAUACCCUGGUAGUCCUAGCCGUAAACGAUGGACACUAGUUGCUGGAGGAGUCAAUCCUUUCAGUGACGAAGCUAACGCAUUAAGUGUCCCGCCUGGGGAGUACGCUCGCAAGGGUGAA